rnacentral:rRNA from 1 species
CCGCAUAAGUUCGAGAGAAGAAAGGCGCAAGUCGCCGGGAGAGGAGUCCGCGGUCGAUUAGGUAGUUGGCGGGGUAAAAGCCCACCAAGCCAAAGAUCGAUAGCCGGCCUGAGAGGGCACACGGCCACACCGGCACUGAAACACGGGCCAGACUCCUACGGGAGGCAGCAGUGGGGAAUCUUGCACAAUGGGGGAAACCCCGAUGCAGCGACGCCGCGUGAGCGAUGAAGCCCUUCGGGGUGUAAAGCUUUUUCGGCAGGAACGAUAAUGACGGUACCUGCAGAAGAAGCUGCGGCUAACUACGUGCCAGCAGCCGCGGUAAUACGUAGGCAGCGAGCGUUGUUCGGAAUUACUGGGCGUAAAGAGUGUGUAGGUGGUGUCGUAAGUUUGGUGUGAAAUCUCCCGGCUCAACUGGGAGGGUGCGCCGAAGACUGCGAUGCUGGAGUAUGGGAGAGGAAAGCGGAAUUCCUGGUGUAGCGGUGAAAUGCGUAGAUAUCAGGAGGAACACCUGCGGUGUAGACGGCUUUCUGGACCAUUACUGACACUGAGACACGAAAGCGUGGGUAGCAAACAGGAUUAGAUACCCUGGUAGUCCACGCCGUAAACGAUGAGUGCUAGACGUCGGGGAGCUUGCUUUUCGGUGUCGCAGCUAACGCAUUAAGCACUCCGCCUGGGGAGUACGGCCGCAAGGUUAAAACUCAAAGGAAUUGACGGGGGCCCGCACAAGCGGUGGAGCAUGUGGUUUAAUUCGAUGCAACGCGAAGAACCUUACCAGCUCUUGACAUAUUGGGUUUUGGAUUCGAGAGAUCGACUCCUUCAGUUCGGCUGGGCCCAGUACAGGUGCUGCAUGGCUGUCGUCAGCUCGUGUCGUGAGAUGUUGGGUUAAGUCCCGCAACGAGCGCAACCCUCAUCUUCAGUUGCCAUCAGGUCAAGCUGGGCACUCUGAAGAAACUGCCGGUGACAAGCCGGAGGAAGGUGGGGAUGACGUCAAGUCCUCAUGGCCCUUACGGGCUGGGCUACACACGUGCUACAAUGAUGGUGGCAGUGGGAUGCGAUGGCGCGAGCCGGAGCGAAUCUCAAAAAGCCGUCUCAGUUCGGAUUGCACUCUGCAACACGGGUGCAUGAAGUUGGAAUCGCUAGUAAUCGUGGAUCAGCAUGCCACGGUGAAUACGUUCCCGGGCCUUGUACACACCGCCCGUCACACCAUGGGAGUUGGUUUUACCUUAAGACGGUGCGCUAACCGCAAGGAGGCAGCCGGCCACGGUAAGGUCAGCGACUGGGGUGAAGUCGUAACAAGGUA